rnacentral:rRNA from 1 species
UACGAAGGGGGCUAGCGUUGCUCGGAUUGACUGGGCGUAAAGGGCGCGUAGGCGGCGGACACAGUCAGACGUGAAAUUCCUGGGCUCAACCUGGGGGCUGCGUUUGAUACAUGUCUGCUUGAGUUCGGAAGAGGGUCGUGGAAUUCCCAGUGUAGAGGUGAAAUUCGUAGAUAUUGGGAAGAAAACCGGUGGCGAAGGCGGCGACCUGGUCCGAUACUGACGCUGAGGCGCGAAAGCGUGGGGAGCAAACAGG